rnacentral:rRNA from 1 species
AUUGAACGCUGGCGGAAUGCUUUACACAUGCAAGUCGAACGGCAGCACGGACUUCGGUCUGGUGGCGAGUGGCGAACGGGUGAGUAAUGUAUCGGAACGUGCCCAGUCGUGGGGGAUAACGUCGUGCAACUUACGCUAAUACCGCAUACGAUCUAUGGAUGAAAGCGGGGGAUCGCAAGACCUCGCGCGAUUGGAGCGGCCGAUAUCAGAUUAGGUAGUUGGUGGGGUAAAGGCCCACCAAGCCAACGAUCUGUAGCUGGUCUGAGAGGACGACCAGCCACACUGGAACUGAGACACGGUCCAGACUCCUACGGGAGGCAGCAGUGGGGAAUUUUGGACAAUGGGCGAAAGCCUGAUCCAGCCAUUCCGCGUGCAGGAUGAAGGCCCUCGGGUUGUAAACUGCUUUUGUACAGAACGAAAAGGUUUCUACUAAUACUAGGAGCUCAUGACGGUACUGUAAGUAUAAGCACCGGCUAACUACGUGCCAGCCGCCGCCGUAA